rnacentral:rRNA from 1 species
UACGUAGGGUGCGAGCGUUGUCCGGAAUUAUUGGGCGUAAAGGGCUCGUAGGCGGUUUGUCGCGUCGGGAGUGAAAACACCGGGCUUAACUCGGUGCUUGCUUUCGAUACGGGCAGACUAGAGGCAUGCAGGGGAGAACGGAAUUCCUGGUGUAGCGGUGAAAUGCGCAGAUAUCAGGAGGAACACCGGUGGCGAAGGCGGUUCUCUGGGCAUGUCCUGACGCUGAGGCGCGAAAGCUAGGGGAGCGAACGGG